rnacentral:lncRNA from 1 species
CCAAACAAAAACAAUACUCUUCCAUUUUUUCCAACCAAACACAGGUGCUGGAGCCGUUCCAUUCCAUUCCAUUCCUAUUAAAAUGAAACCGUUCCGUUUCAUUCAACUUGGCUCUGGAACCAAAUACAUUAGACCAUCUCUCCCUUAUAUUUGGAAUUUUCGAUCCGUAAAAACGUGUGUGCGUCUUUGUUUGCGGUACCAAAUUGAACCGGACGGACCGUAAAAUCCAAACCUUAUAUUUCCUGGUAGUUCUACUGACACCUGAGACGACCCACCUGUCGGUGACAAAAACAUCUUCUUCCUCCCUCUUCUUCUCCCCUGUAUCACGAGCUACCCCAAAUCCCCCAUCUUCUUCCUCGACCACGGCCAAAUUCUUCCCUUCUCUUCUCCCUCGUAUCUCUCCUUCUGUUCACCCGACCACGACCAGGACCACCAGCAGGGGCGGCGGGAUGCGCAUGGGGCUGGAGGAGGGGAGCGAGGCGGCGGCGGGCCAGAGGAGGAGCUCGCGAGGGCGUUGCCGCCACCAGCCAAAGGAGUAGCUCGUGGGGCCGGGGGCGGCGGCGGCCGGCCUGAGGUGAGCAACAAGGCGGUGGCGGCCUGAGGUGUGGAAGGACGGGGCGGUGGCUAGAUGCGGCGUGCGGCGGCCUGAAGGCGGGGAAGGAGAGGAGGCGGCAGUGGCCGGCAGAGAAAGGAAAGGCACGGGCUGAAAUUUCAGCGCGCCAACCAUUUCUUAGGCGAUGGGGUAUGUGUGUUCGGUUCUCCUGCGAAACAGGAGAUAUUGUGUGUAGGGAGGGAGAUAUGGGGUUGAUCCGAAAAACUUUCUACAGAUUUCCUGAAUAAAAAUUAUCUAAUCAGGUCGUAUUUUUCGUCCGAAAUCGUAAAC